UCUCGAUAGCGUAAAAGUUAACUCAUUUUUGUAUGGAGUUCGAACGUUUGCCUACGUUUGCCGCUAGGGGCGCUGUUCCAACUGCAUACAAGCUUAAGUUAACUUUUACGCUAUCGG
rnacentral:pre_miRNA from 9 species